rnacentral:rRNA from 1 species
CGCUGGCGGCGCGCUUCAACAUGCAAAGGACGAAAGAAAGGGGGCAACCCUGAGUAAAGUGGCGUACGGGUUAGUCACACGUGGAUCAUCUACCUUCUAGUGGGGAAUACCCCCGGGAAACUGGGGACAAUACCGCAUAAGCCUGUGAAGGGAAAGCAGCAAUGCGCUGGAAGAGGAGUCCGCGGCUGAUUAGCUAGUUGGUAAGGUAAUGGCUUACCAAGGCAACGAUCAGUAGCCGGUCUGAGAGGACGGUCGGCCACACUGGAACUGAGACACGGUCCAUACUCCUACGGGAGGCAGCAGUGGG